rnacentral:sRNA from 1 species
GCUGGGUGCGGUGGCCCACGCCUGUAAUCCCAGUGGCUCGAGAGGCUGAGGCAGGAGGAUGGCGAGUUCAAAGCCAGCCUCAGCAAAAGCGAGGCACUAGGCAACUCAGUGAGAUCCUGUCUCUA